rnacentral:lncRNA from 1 species
AGGACUCCACAAACAAUUGAAUACCGUACGAUGGUAGAUGCCGGAUCAGCGGUCGUCCACAGACCCCCUGUCUUGAGACCACAUUUUGUUAAUGCGACCUUCCAUAUUUAUUUAAUUGGUUCUGCAGACUGCAGAAAAUACAGUAUCGAAACAAAGCUUCCGAGAAAAGUUUCGAAAGGCUCGUCUUACUUUCUUGAAUUCAUAUAUUUUAAUUCUUAAUUUUCUGGUCGUACCCGUCGUGCAUAGGUGCCAGGUAAAGAUUCCAUUGUCCCAGACGAGCAAAUGGUAAAAGAUAUUCACCAACUAUAGGUAUUUUCUGAACAAGAAACACGACUACCUUUAGCGCCGGUCAAAUUCCCGUUCAAGAGUCGUGUUUAUGCUACGAAAGAAGUCUACAAUAUCAUCAGCAGAUCGACAGAAACAUUAGCGAAAAUCAUUAGAUUCGGAGUGUCACUAAAACCUACAGGGAUCUCAACAGGACGGCCGUAUGAAGAAGAGUUUCCUACUGACCAAAAAUCCAAGGUCCUCCUUCCUUAUCUAUGGAUUGAUCACCUACACGAUACUACAGUUCAUCUAGCAAUGGGGUACAUUUUUGUUUUCAUAACAUGAUAUCAGUGUGGUAUUCCAUAGUACCGAAAGAGACUUUUUUUACCUUGAGCAUAGUUUAAUUUUCCAUUCCAGACAACGUGUCAUUCUCUAGAGUAUCAUUUCUUUGUUUAACGGUUGUGCAUGCGAAGACACAUGAAUAUGGAUGCAACUCAAACAAAGAAUCUUAUUCUCAAGAGAAACACGUGAUCUCAAAUGGUAAAACAUUUCGCCCCAGAUAAAGAGGUCUUGGCUAACAGGGAAAGAGAAUAUCAAAUUAGUACAAAUUCCAUCGAGAGAAUGUCUGAUUUCUUUUGUAUUUUCAUGUCGGCCACCUUUCCAUACUUCGCCUUGCGCAGGCAUCCUAGACCUCCUAUAUAUCCUAUAUUUCCUAUAAUUUGUAUAGGAUCCUAUAAAGAGCCUAUAUUUAAAGAAAACCUCCUAUAUUUCCUAUAAAUAGGACGACUGCUGAUUGAUACAUUUAUACUUUACACUGUUUAGCAUAUUUGGCGAAGGGAAUAAAUAUUUUUUAUGAUUUGAGUGAUGUAUCUUGAAGAUAUCAAGGUUUAUACCCCCAAUAUUUUAAUGAGUGAUGUCAUUUUAGUGUAUGUUUAGUUAUGUUAUGAGAAAUUAAAUUUGAAUUAACCUUUCUACAAACCCCAAGACAAUGAUUUUGUAUACUUAACAAAUAGACAUCAGUUUUUUGUGUCUGUCCUCUUAUUGACGAUAAAUUGCGUCAUCACAUUGUCAAAGUAGUGUGGAUUCACG